rnacentral:rRNA from 1 species
GACGAACGCUGGCGGCGUGCCUAAUACAUGCAAGUAGAACGCUGAAGGAGGAGCUUGCUCUUCUGGAUGAGUUGCGAACGGGUGAGUAACGCGUAGGUAACCUGCCUGGUAGCGGGGGAUAACUAUUGGAAACGAUAGCUAAUACCGCAUAAGAGUAGAUGUUGCAUGACAUUUGCUUAAAAGGUGCAAUUGCAUCACUACCAGAUGGACCUGCGUUGUAUUAGCUAGUUGGUGGGGUAACGGCUCACCAAGGCGACGAUACAUAGCCGACCUGAGAGGGUGAUCGGCCACACUGGGACUGAGACACGGCCCAGACUCCUACGGGAGGCAGCAGUAGGGAAUCUUCGGCAAUGGACGGAAGUCUGACCGAGCAACGCCGCGUGAGGGAAGAAGGUUUUCGGAUCGUAAAGCUCUGUUGUAAGAGAAGAACGAGUGUGAGAGUGGAAAGUUCACACUGUGACGGUAGCUUACCAGAAAGGGACGGCUAACUACGUG